rnacentral:misc_RNA from 1 species
AAUUCUCAACUUCAAAUACUUUGUUGUAUUUUGAAGCUUGGACUAUGGAGGUCUUUGCCGGCGUCAUUGUCAGCUCCUCUUAAAUGCAUUAGCGGAACUUUAUUAAAAGGACCAGCUUUGGUUUGAUAAUCCUAUCUAUGCCGUCGCUGUGGACUUGUUGUUCAGCUUCAAAUGGUCUUCGGACUGUCUCCUUGUGAGGCAUACACUUUUAA